AUUGAACGCUGGCGGCAUGCCUUACACAUGCAAGUCGAACGGUAACAGGUUAAGCUGACGAGUGGCGAACGGGUGAGUAAUAUAUCGGAACGUGCCCAGUCGUGGGGGAUAACUGCUCGAAAGAGCAGCUAAUACCGCAUACGACCUGAGGGUGAAAGCGGGGGAUCGCAAGACCUCGCGCGAUUGGAGCGGCCGAUAUCAGAUUAGGUAGUUGGUGGGGUAAAGGCCUACUAAGCCUACGAUCUGUAGCUGGUCUGAGAGGACGACCAGCCACACUGGGACUGAGACACGGCCCAGACUCCUACGGGAGGCAGCAGUGGGGAAUUUUGGACAAUGGACGCAAGUCUGAUCCAGCCAUGCCGCGUGCGGGAAGAAGGCCUUCGGGUUGUAAACCGCUUUUGUCAGGGAAGAAAAGGUUCUGGUUAAUACCUGGGACUCAUGACGGUACCUGAAGAAUAAGCACCGGCUAACUACGUGCCAGCAGCCGCAGUAACAC
rnacentral:rRNA from 1 species